CCCAGACACAUCGCGGCGUUCACAGGAUACCGGCCCCCGGGAGAUAAGAGCUGGCCGGGAACAAUGACGGGGUCCACGCCCAGCGUCCGCCCUGAUUCCCGCAGCCGGCAGCCCCCACCGACACCUUCCCCCAAAUCCAGAGCCAAACGCCUUUGCCCUCUUUCCUUUCCCGGGGCCAAGGCCGGAGGUGGCCCUCCUGACUCAUUCACUUUCCGUUUCUUCCCACAGAUACGUUCAUUAAUGCUUUUUCCAGCCCGAGGCGCACGUUGGGGGUGGUGGAUCGGCGGGAGCGUUUACCAGGGCUGGGGGGAACCUGGCGCCCGCUGCGGGGACCAUCCGGACGCUGACUACGUCCUGAGCAAACCGACCGUUACAAAGCGCGUCCGAUGGGGUUUUUCCACUCGGCCCUCCGCCGCCGAGACGCGGCAGACUCCGGAGCGGCUCGCUAGACCCUCGACGCGGACUCCGGGCGGUGGAGGCUGACCCGCACCGUCGCGGGCGCGGCCUCCACUUGGGGCGUAUUGUUAGAAGGGCGCCCUCGGGGCGGCCCUGGGCGCGGGCGCCCGCGGGUGGCGGGAACCGGGCACCUAGGCCCCCUAGCUGCAUCUUCCCGGGUCAAGCCCUUCGCACUUGCUGGAGCUCUGACUCCUGAGCCAGAAUCGCCCUUCCGAGAGCACCCCAGCCCCAAGAAGCUGACCCUGUGGCAGCACGGUCCCUCCAUGGGCGUCGGCGGGUCCCGGGCGCAGCACGCAGCCGCUCCGCACAGAUCCGGACUUGGCCCUGGGAGAGACCCGGGCGCCCGCGCUCCGGACAGUCAUCCUCACCCAGCCCCGAGGCGGCCUCACCUCGUGCCAACGCGCCCUCCUGGCCCACCUGGAGACCCCCGGGGCCCUGCCCCGCCGCCGCGCGCUCAGAUUCCUCCCGGGGACAAAGAAAAAAAUCCAGAGGAGAUCCGAGUCAAUUGAAAAAAUAACUUUCAAAAGGGUGUCCACAGCAGCGAAAAAGCCCAGACUCUACCGACCUUCAAACGACAACAGGGCUUUCAGGAGGGUGCGGGGAGAAGCUUCCCACAGGCCCUCACCAGAAACCUGCACCCUGGCCACACUGCUUCUCCUUCAGCCAGAAAGGACUCCACCCCCACCAGCAGAAGCCCCUUCCCAGUGCUGGCCCACCCCGCUGCACAGGCCAGCUAGGGGCCACCUCAUGUGUGGGGACCACCCCCCUCUGCUCCCUGGGCUCCUCAGAAGGAAGGCACCCCUGGGUGACGCUUGUCUUCCCGACUCAGGUGGUCUGGGAAAGACCUCCCUGCACUGGGCACCAGCAGGGCUGGGCUCCAUUCCCACCAGGUGCUGCUCCCCCUGGAGGUGAUCACUAUGAAGCUAGACUGGAGGGGCCUUGCCCCUGCUUUGCCUGUGGAACCCCAUGGCACUUUCUGUUUCUGCCUGUAAGACGAAGCUGUGGCAACUGCGUGACUCUGGAGAUGAAGGAGGGAGGCUGGCACAGCCCUGCCCUGGGCAGAGCACAGGCAUCCUCGUUCCUCUGUGACUCAGGACUGGCCCUGGUGCCACCCCUCCUGCUGUCAUGAGGAGCCCCUGUCCACCCUGGUCUCCACCCAGCCAGAGGAGCCCGAGCUGCACAGGUCUCGGGGAAUCUCAGACCCCAGGUCCAGGGGGACAGGCUGGGGUGAGUGUGCCCCCAUGUAACCCGGGUUGAUGCUCAUUUCUGCAGCUGCUGCCAUUUUUUUUUUAACUUUUUAAAAUCCCGGAGGGGGGGAAGCCCUAACCAAACACAACAGUAAACAAGUCUGCCCUGUUUAAUGUGGUUACCACCAGACAUCUGGAAAGAUGGUUUGAUCCUGGCUGCUCACAUUGUUUUCGCGAGCAGCCAAAGAGAAUAUUUUGAAUGUUUGCAUUGAGACAAAUUGAUAGAGAGCCUGCGGUGAGGCCGCUACAAAUGAAACGUCUUGUGCUGAGGGGCUCCCCCUUCCCUCUCCUCUUCUCCCUCCUCCCUGCUGCCCCUUCCCUCCUCCCUCUCCCAGGUCUGCUGUUCAAACUUGGAGAUGUCUGCCACCACCCCACCCACGCUCACAACCAGGUCGCUGGGUCCCCGACACUGUGGGCCUAGCCCUCAGAGCCGAGAGCCGGGCUGGUGCGCAGCCCAGGCGAGCCAGCCUGAGAGGAGGGCUGCAGGCAGGCACGCCCACCAGCAUUUAAGGCAGAAGCUGCCUAGGACUGCUGCAGACAAGAUCCCAACCAGAAAAGGACCCGCCCAGGUUUCUAAGUCUCUGUCACUUACAGACGCAUGUGACUGGGGGUGAAUAUUCAGGAAAUAUCCGGAUUUGGGGAUUUUCACUGGGAAAUUGGUGAGAAGACUUUCCUCUCUUGCACCUGGACAAAAUUUCCAAGAUGUGGACGUCCUGUCUCUCCGGGGAGGGAGUGGUGGGGCCAAGAGUUUCUCAGCUGGCUCAAGGUCAACCCUUUUGACCUGGGCCAAGACUUUCUAGAAGGGCUUCCCGGGCUCCCCAGGUCCCAGCCAGGGUUGGGUGUGCCAGGACUGGACCAGCGACCAGCGACCAGCGACCACCAGAGGGGGGUCCCUGGGGUGUCCCAGGUUCGGGUAGCUCGGUCAUUGGAAACUCCAAAGGAUGCCAGGCCUGGCAGAGUGUUCCGGGCGGGCCCAUGCCCCUCCAAACUCCUGGGUCCUCCCACAGGCUUGGGGCCAGCAUGGCGCAGCGGGUAUCCGAGCUGGCAGCCGGAGGGGAGGGAGGGCAGGCCACGGGAGCAGCGGGGCGGGGGCCAAAACUCCAGACUGCACAACUGCAGCUUCAAGUGUCUGGCCUCUCGCUCGAGGCCAUAAUUAAUUUGAGAUUUAUUUUUAUUGGAGAACCAGAGUCUCGUCUGACCUUAGCCAAACAAGGCAGCUCGGGCCGCCCUGGAUGCGCUUGAAUGCCGGGGAAUAUUUCGGCAGGAAGGCUCUGCAGGCGCGCCUGCUUUGAAUUUGUUUCUCAGACUUCAUCUACUCACAGAUUGGAGGAAGAUUUAGAGCCUCCGCUCGCCCUGCCCGCUCCCCACGCUGGUUCUGGCCUUAGCACUAGCGAGUUCAAAACGCUACGUGGGAGGCCCGCGGCAGCGGGAGGGUGAGGGCUAGGGCCCAGGAGGGGGAGGGUCUCAGUGCCUGAGCCCCAGGCGCUCCGGGCAGGCCCACAGACCACGAGGCGUCGAGGAGGAAACCCCAAGAGAGUCUCAGCUGACCAGAGAAUGAAGGCUGACCAGAUGUGAAGACCAGCCAGGGCACUGUAACUGCGUCUUCUUCUCAAAGCCCGCUGGUAGAGUUGAUGGGAGUGUCCAGAACCUGCCAGGCCAGCACUUGGCCUUGUCCGCACUGAGGCUGUGCCCCUUGCCAGCUCUGUGACCAUCCCUGCUCAACGCCUUGGUUUCUCUACAAAACGGCUGCCUCUCAGGGCCAAGGCUUGUUUAAAUGAUCUAAUCUUAGAAUCCGCUCCGCACCUCCUGGGGACCGUGGGUUCAUCCACGCGCUCACCGACGACUGAUACAUUAUACACGCGCUUUCGGCCCACCUCUCAGUCCUGGAGGACCGGCCACGGCCAUGCCCCCGGGUC